rnacentral:tRNA from 1 species
UUCCUGGUAGCUCAGACGGUAAAGCAUCUGCCUACAAUGCAGGAGACCCAGGUUCGGUCCCUGGGUUGGGAA